AGCUUUAAUAUCUGUAAUGAUUCUCGAGGAAGGGAUCAUCUUGGUCGAAGAAGAGUCAACAUCAUCUUCCAUCGCUCGUCUCUUGUUUUGGUUUGGUUGGUGAAGAUUUGUCCAAGAACAACGACAAAGCAACAUAUCAAACGCAGAUUUGUCCAAGAACAACGACAAAGCAACAUAUCAAACGCCGAACAAUUUGGAGCCAAAGAUGGAUCAACAACGAAGUAGAAACUGAAGAAAAGAAUCGUAAAAUCAGAGAAUGAAAUUGCAUCUUUCUCAUUCUCUCUCUCUCUCUCUCUCUCUGUGUUUCUCUGGGUUUGUGAUGAUACUAGUAGACAGAGAGAAGAGAGGAUGCGCGACAUGUAUAUAUAGACUUUGUUGUUUCUCUGUGUUUCCUUUUUUUUUUGGGGAUU
rnacentral:lncRNA from 1 species